rnacentral:rRNA from 1 species
UAGGGAAUCUUCGGCAAUGGACGAAAGUCUGACCGAGCAACGCCGCGUGAGUGAAGAAGGUUUUCGGAUCGUAAAACUCUGUUGGUAGAGAAGAACGUUGGUGAGAGUGGAAAGCUCAUCAAAGUGACGGUAACUACCCAGAAAGGGACGGCUAACUACGUGCCAG